UUGGACUCUGAAGUCUGGACCGCAUUAUCAACCUUAACAUAGAAAAUUUAAGGAAAAACUAAUUGUAAAGUGUACAAGAAUACAAAACCCCAUUUUUUUUUAAUAGAAAAAGCUUUUAA
rnacentral:ribozyme from 1 species